rnacentral:rRNA from 1 species
UACGGAGGGGGCUAGCGUUGUUCGGAAUUACUGGGCGUAAAGCGAACGUAGGCGGCUGUGUAAGUUAUAGGUGAAAGCCUGGAGCUCAACUCCAGAAUUGCCUUUAAGACUGCAUCGCUAGAAUCCGGGAGAGGUGAGUGGAAUUCCGAGUGUAGAGGUGAAAUUCGUAGAUAUUCGGAAGAACACCAGUGGCGAAGGCGGCGCACUGGAAUGGUAUUGACGCUGAGGUGCGAAAGCGUGGGGAGCAAACAGG